rnacentral:rRNA from 1 species
CGGUCCAGACUCCUACGGGAGGCAGCAGUGGGGAAUUUUGGACAAUGGGCGCAAGCCUGAUCCAGCCAUGCCGCGUGAGUGAAGAAGGCCUUCGGGUUGUAAAGCUCUUUCGGCGGGAACGAAAAGGUCCGUGUUAACACCACGGAUCCAUGACGGUACCCGCAGAAGAAGCACCGGCUAACUACGUGCCAGCAGCCGCGGUAAUACGUAGGGUGCAGGCGUUAAUCGGAAUUACUGGGCGUAAAGCGUGCGCAGGCGGUUUGCUAAGACAGGUGUGAAAUCCCCGGGCUUAACCUGGGAACUGCGCUUGUUACUGGCAAGCUAGAGUGUGGCAGAGGGGGGUGGAAUUCCAGGUGUAGCAGUGAAAUGCGUAGAUAUCUGGAGGAACACCGAUGGCGAAGGCAGCCCCCUGGGCUAACACUGACGCUCAUGCACGAAAGCGUGGGGAGCAAACAGGAUUAGAUACCCUGGUAGUCCACGCCCUAAACUAUGUCAACUGGUUGUCGGGGAAGCAAUUCCUUGGUAACGAAGCUAACGCGUGAAGUUGACCGCCUGGGGAGUACGGCCGCAAGGUUAAAACUCAAAGGAAUUGACGGGGACCCGCACAAGCGGUGGAUUAUGUGGAUUAAUUCGAUGCAACGCGAAAAACCUUACCUACCCUUGACAUGUACGGAAGCCUCCAGAGAUGGAGGUGUGCCCGAAAGGGAACCGUAACACAGGUGCUGCAUGGCUGUCGUCAGCUCGUGUCGUGAGAUGUUGGGUUAAGUCCCGCAACGAGCGCAACCCUUGCCAUUAGUUGCCACAUUAAGUUGGGCACUCUAAUGGGACUGCCGGUGACAAACCGGAGGAAGGUGGGGAUGACGUCAAGUCCUCAUGGCCCUUAUGGGUAGGGCUUCACACGUAAUACAAUGGCCGGUACAGAGGGCAGCCAACCCGCGAGGGGGAGCUAAUCCCAGAAAGCCGGUCGUAGUCCGGAUUGCAGUCUGCAACUCGACUGCAUGAAGCCGGAAUCGCUAGUAAUCGCGGAUCAGCAUGUCGCGGUGAAUACGUUCUCGGGUCUUGUACACACCGCCCGUCACACCAAGGGAGUGGGUUUCACCAGAAGUAGUUAGCCUAACCGCAAGGAGGGCGACUACCACGGUGAGAUUCAUGACUGGGGUGAAGUCGUAACAAGGUAGCCGUAUCGGAAGGUGCGGCUG